rnacentral:rRNA from 1 species
GAGUUUGAUCCUGGCUCAGGAUGAACGCUAGCGAUAGGCUUAACACAUGCAAGUCGAGGGGUAACAUGAUUGAAGCUUGCUUCAAUUGAUGACGACCGGCGCACGGGUGCGUAACACGUAUGCAACCUACCUAUAAAUGAGGAAUAACCCGGAGAAAUUCGGACUAAUACCUCAUAGUAUUUAAAAGAGGCAUCUCUUUUAUCUUAAAGAAUUUCGUUUAUAGAUGGGCAUGCGCAUGAUUAGUUAGUUGGCGGGGUAACGGCCCACCAAGACAACGAUCAUUAGGGGUUCUGAGAGGAAGAUCCCCCACACUGGUACUGAGACACGGACCAGACUCCUACGGGAGGCAGCAGUGAGGAAUAUUGGUCAAUGGACGAAAGUCUGAACCAGCCAAAUCGCGUGAAGGAAGACUGCCCUAUGGGUUGUAAACUUCUUUUAUAUGGGAAUAAAGUGCGCUACGUGUAGCGUUUUGUAUGUACCAUAUGAAUAAGGACCGGCUAACUCCGUGCCAGCAGCCGCGGUAAUACGGAGGGUCCGAGCGUUAUCCGGAUUUAUUGGGUUUAAAGGGUGCGUAGGCGGGAUGUCAAGUCAGCGGUGAAAUCUUCUAGCUCAACUAGAAAACUGCCGUUGAAACUGAUAUUCUUGAGUGUAAACGAGGUAAGCGGAAUGUGUCAUGUAGCGGUGAAAUGCUUAGAGAUGACACAGAACACCAAUUGCGAAGGCAGCUUACUAGGAUACAACUGACGCUGAGGCACGAAAGCGUGGGUAUCGAACAGGAUUAGAUACCCUGGUAGUCCACGCAGUAAACGAUGAUUACUAGCUGUUUGCGAUAUAUUGUAAGUGGCUAAGGGAAACCGAUAAGUAAUCCACCUGGGGAGUACGUUCGCAAGAAUGAAACUCAAAGGAAUGACGG